rfam:Pelobacter acetylenicus strain DSM 3247 genome.
GGCCCGGAACAUGAGCCGGAGCCGCAGGGGGUCUGCCUUUUUCGCACGUUUCAUACCGCCUGGAUCCAUUGGACCGGGACGGAAGG